rnacentral:rRNA from 1 species
CUGGCUCAGGAUGAACGCUAGCUACAGGCUUAACACAUGCAAGUCGAGGGGCAUCAUGGAGUUGCUUGCAAACUCUGAUGGCGACCGGCGCACGGGUGAGUAACGCGUAUCCAACCUUCCCUAUAGUAGAGGAUAGCCCGGCGAAAGUCGGAUUAAUACUCUAUGUUUUCCGUUGCAGACAUCUAAGAUGGAACAAAGGCUUGCCGCUAUAGGAUGGGGAUGCGUCUGAUUAGGUAGUCGGCGGGGUAACGGCCCACCGAGCCAUCGAUCAGUAGGGGUUCUGAGAGGAAGGUCCCCCCACAUUGGAACUGAGACACGGUCCAAACUCCUACGGGAGGCAGCAGUGAGGAAUAUUGGUCAAUGGGCGAGAGCCUGAACCAGCCAAGUAGCGUGCAGGAUGACGGCCCUAUGGGUUGUAAACUGCUUUUAUGCGGGGAUAAAGUUCGCUACGUGUAGUGUUUUGUAGGUACCGCAUGAAUAAGGACCGGCUAAUUCCGUGCCAGCCGCCGC